UUUAAAGGAGGGGGGAGGGGAUUCUUUCAUCUCUUUGUUCGUAUUGUUCUUCCCCAAAUCCAGUAUCAUGACUAUCUACAGUUACAGAUGAGCAGUUUUCGAAACUGAAUAUGUAAAUACAAGAUGGUUGAUAAUUAAAAUUUGGCAAAAAAUCAAGGGAGGUUGGAAAAGGAAGAAAGGGAAUGGAAGAAAUAAAAGGAGAAGAGGGAAUGAAAAUGAAGGGCGUGCACAAAUUUGUAUGCAACGAAACUCGCCCAUGGGUUUGUUUGAGAUUCUGAUUGUGUGGAUGGAUAUGAACCGGAGCGAGAACAACAGUGGUGGUAGAGGGGAUGCCGAAGGGGGAGCCCCAGAGCGGCAGAGAACUCUAAUAUCAGCGGCUGUUCUCCAAGAGGCUCGUGGAAUUCCAAGGAACUCUCAGCAGAUUUUGAAACGAGAAUGAACUUCUCAGUAGCUUCAAUCCCUCUGAACUGGACCAAUUUCAAUCUUGGUGUUCAAAUGCAUUGGCUGUUGGAGCAAAAAGUUUGUGCAUUGAAGAUAAUAUGGGAUGGAUUAAACUAAAGAUGUCCAUAGCCACAAAGAUUGACAUGGAAAAUUCAGCAAUUAGCAGCGAGAAUGAUAGAAAUAUGAUCUCACAAAAAAAUAGCAUAAUAGAUAUUCCACGUGGCCCAACUACUAUAUCUGAGUUGGCACAAAUAAGAACAUCUGGGCAAUGGUUGGCCAUCGAUUAUAAUGAACAUGAACAAUUGAUUGGAUUUAGUGCAAAGAAGAUGCAAAGAUAUAUAGGAAUUUGUGUUCAACAACAAAUACCUAUAACGUAUAAUUUUUGGAAAAAAGUUCCAAACCAUUUAAAAGUCAAACUUUUUGAUUAUGUAGUGGUAUAUUUUCUAAAACUUUAAUUCACGUGCAUAGUAGUUUAUUAGUUUAUUGUUUAUUACUUUUUUCAUUGUCCAGAUGUCGUUCGAUGUGGACUCUAAGUCCAAACAUGGUAUACUCAUGUCUGCAUCUAGGAAGUUUCAGACUUUCAAGACCACAUUGACUCAAAAGUUCAUACUUUCAUUUAAGGAUAAACCCUUGGUUUUGCAAUUUUAUCCUAAAAAAUAUUCUCAUAUAGAGCAAGAUCAAUGGACAUCGUUUGUUAAUGAAUAAUUGAGUAAAGAAUGGGAUGUAAGUCAUUUUAAAUAAAUGUCAAUAUUAUCAUUGUUUUGAUAGGUAAUUUCAACUAUAUUUAUUGUACAGAAAAUCAGUCGUCUUCAAAAAGAAAGAAGGUCGAAAUAUGUAUAUAAUCAUCACAUUUCUCGAAAGGAUUAUGCACAUCUUACCCAAGAAUUAGUAAGUUUUUCGACUUAAAUUAAAUCUUUUAUUCUAAUAUGUUUAUAUUAAUUAAAUAUAUAUGUUCAUGUAAAACCUAUCGAGUGAUCCUUCUUAUCAAGCGACUUUUAUGGAAAGAAGCACGAAAAGGAAAAAAUAAUGAAUACUUUGAUGAAACCACUUGAGAAUGUGCCAAUCGAAUUGUAAGUUUAUAUUGUGCAAAGUUUAAGAUGACAUAUAUAUAAUGUCUGAAGUUUGUGAUGAUAUAGAUAUGGAGCCUCUCUCAAUUUCUUGACUCAUUGUAGACUUUAGUUUUACUAAUUUGAAAUAUUAGGAACGGGAAACAAAAUCACUCACUUCUCUAACACGUCCCCAAUGUUCAUCUGUACCCAAUGCUUUGGUCAAAACAUCUUCACCUUCAUAUACUUUGGCCAAUUUAUCCGGUAAAAUAUAUUACAAUUUUUAAGUUUCAGACAUUAUAUAUAUGUCAUCUUAAACUUUGCACAACAUAAACUUACAAUUUGACUAGCACAUUCUCGUGGCUUCAUCAAAGUAUUCAUUAUUUUUUCCUUUUCGUGCUUCUUUUCAUAAAGUCGCCCGAUUAGAAGGAUCAUUCGAUAUAUUCUACAUGAACAUACAUAUUUAAUUAGCAUAAACAUAUUAUAAUAAAAAAUUUAAUUCAAGUCGAAAAACUUACUAAUUCUUGGGCAAUAUUCGCAUAACCCUUAUGAGAAAUAUGAUGAUUAUAUACACAUUUCGACCUUCUUUUUUUUUUAAGAUGAUUGAUUUCCUGCAUAUCUAAUCUAGUUGAAGUUACCUAUCAAAACAAUGAUAAUAUUGACAUUUAUUUAGAAUGACUUACAUCUCAUUCUUCACUCAAUCGUUCAUUAACAAAUGUUGUCCACUGAUCUUGAUCUAUAUGAGAAUAUUGUUGAAGAGUAAAUUGCAAGACCGAUGGUUCAUCUUUAUAUGGAAUUAUGAACUUUUGAGUCAAUGUGGUCUUGAAAGUCCGAAACUUUCCAAAUGCAGACAUGAGUAUACUAUGUUUGGACUUAGAGUCCAUAUCGAACGACAUCUGCACAAUAAAAAAAAUAGAAAACAAUAAAUUAAUAAACUACUAUGCACAUGAAUUAAAGUUUUAGAAAACAUACCGCUAUACAAUAAAAAAAGUUUAUUUUUAGAUGGUUUGGAACUUUUUUCCAAGAAUUAUAUGUUAUAGGUAUUUGUUGGCAAACACAAACUCUGAUAUAACUUUGCAUUUUCUUUGCAUCAAAUCCAAUAGGUUGUCCAUGUUCAUUAUAAUCAAUGGCCAAUCGUUGCUCAAAUGUUUUUAUUUGUGCCAACUUAGACAUAGUAGUUGGGCUACGAGGAAUACUUAUUUUGCUAUUUGUUUGUGGGGUCAUAUUUCUAUCAUCUUGGUUGUUACUUGUUGAAUUUUCUAUGUGAAUCUGCAAAAAGAAAAAAAAAAACAUUACUCACAAAAAAACAUAUAAUUUUAAUAUUUAAUACAUAUAACUAUAAUAAAUGACAUACCAUGUUUAAUACAUUAUAUAUCAACACAUCUACCCUCACAAUCAUAAAAAAAAAAAAAAAAGUCAAACAAAAAAGCUUGAUUGUAAAAUAUGCAACUUAAUCUUUAAAAUAAAAAAAAAAACAAUAAUAAGCGAAAAUUACGUAACCGUAAGCUUGUAAAUUUAACCAUGAUGAAUAAUAAGACUUGAAACAAUAACAAAUUGGUUUUGAUAUACACUUGAACCACACCAAGCAAGAUUAUCAACCAAGUACAUGUUUUUUUUAACUAAUUUCAUUCCAACAUUAACAAAUUUCAAGAAGCUUAAUCAUUGGAACAAAACAUAAAAUUAAUAAAAUAACACUUGAACCACACCAAUCAAGUUCAAUCAACCAAGUAAGACCAAGUUUGUUUAUAUAUAAUUGAAAGAAAAGGAUUUUGAUAUACACUUGAACCACACCAAGCAAGACUAUCAACCAAGUACACAUUUUGUAACUAUUUUCAUUCCAACAUUAACAAAUUUCAAUAAGCUUAAUCAUUGGAACAAAACAUAAAAUUAAUGAAAUAACACUUGAACCAUACCAACCUUAAUCAACCAAGUAAGACCAAGUUAUUUUAUAUAUAAUUGAAAAAAAAGGAUUUUGAUAUACACUUGAACCACACCGAACAAUACUACCAACCAAGUAUAUAUUUUUCAACUAAUUUAAUUUCAACAUUAACAAUUUUCAAGAAGUUUAAUCAUUGGAACAAAACAUAAAAUUAAUGAAAUAACACUUGAAUCAUACCAAUCAAACUUAAUUAACCAAGUUAGACCAAAUUAGUUUAUAUAUAAUUGAAAGAAAAGGAUUUUGAUAUACAAAUUAUACCAAGCAAGACUACCAACCAAGUAUAUAUUUUUCAACUAAUUUAAUUCCAACAUUUCAAAAUUUCAAUAAGUUUAAUCAUUAAAAUAAAAAUAAAAUGAAUAAAAUAACUUUAAUUUACUAAAUUGAAAAUUCAUAUGAAAAUAAAAUUUUACCUUUACAAGCAAACAACUUAAACAACCCACAAACUUGAAGAGAUCUAAACUGGAGUUUGAAGAUUGGAACGCCGGCAAGCACGGGACCUUGCAAAUAGAGUUAGACGGCGGAUCUGACAAAAUUACAACAUCGACGAUCGGAUCGGAAGAUCCACAAGUAGAUCGGGCAAAUAGACGACCAGAUCAGAAAAACCCACAACUAAAUCUAUGAUCCAUGCCAGCGACCCACCUCUACGACCAGAACCAGUUGGGCGAACGGCGAGCUGACCAGCUGGAAGAAUAGCCACGACGAACAACCACUAGAAGAACAACAGAACAACACCCACGCAACAACUACAAAAACCAACUGGAGCACACCUAUGCAAAGAAUAAUCGAGAACACCCACGCGAAGAAAACCCGGAGAACACCCACUCGCCGACAAAAACCAACUGAAGAACAACCAGAAGAACAACCACGAUGAACAACCAUCGGAAGAACAACCGAAAAAACAACCACUGGAAGAACAAUGGCCACACGACGACGAAAAUAAACCAGAGAACACCCACGACGAUGACCCACCACCGGAAGAAGCCCACGACGAUGGAGAUCCAAGCAACACCGAUGACGACGAUGAUCAGAAGUGAUUUGCAUGUUCAAGCUAAGGAGAAGAGAGGGUUUGGUAAGAGAGAAGUGAAAAGAGAGAGAAGAUUUGAUAGGAAAUGAAGAAGAUAUUUUUAAUAAAAUUAAAAAUAAAUAAAUAAAUGAGAGGCAUUUAAUGUCGGUUUUUUUUAAAACCGACAUUAUACAUCCGAUUUCACUUUUUUUAACCGACAUUAAAGCCCAAAAUUUUCGUAGUGAAUGCAGCCACUUUUUGGAGAUAGUAGAGGCUAUUAGAAGCUUGGGACUGACAAUACUUAAAGGCAUAACAGAAGCUCACGGCGAGAACACAUGGAUUUGUUUUGUGGUUGAGAUAUUAAUAAGCCAAAAUCAGAAUUCUUAAUGUUGGUUGUGAAGAGCUAAAAUUUUCCUCUCUUUAAAAUACUACUUUUGCUAAUGCAAUCCACCAUAAUUAACAGCACAUGAGAUUUAUUCAAUUUGUAGAGUAGUGUGAACGCCAAUAUCAUGUUCAUUAUACUUGUCAAUCAUUGUUUGAUAUCUGAUUUUGAACUAUGGUAGGGGGAGAUUCACAGAAACAUACACAAAAUGGAUAUCUUAUGGUCCCUUGUUCAAAUACUAUAGAAACAUAAUACAAUGUGAUGGCUUCAACUGCUAAACUUUUUGCAACUGUUUGUGUAGAUUCCUUAUGUAAAAUAGUGUGAGUUGCUUGUUGUGACUAUUGAUUCAUCUGUCUCCUCCUUUAUCGAGUGCAACACUUUUCUCAGAAAUUCACCCUUCCCCAUACAACGGAAGACAAAGAAGGAUAAAGAAAAAGAAAAAAGAAAAAGAAAAUUCCAUGAAGGUUGGAUUAAAAUUCCAUAGAUUUAUUUUUUCAUUUGAAAUUAGAUGCAAGGCCAGUGACUGCAUUGGUUUUGUGUUGUUGUGUGGUGUAGUGUUGCAAGUUUUUUUUUUUUUUUUUUUUUUUUGUCCUCGAAAGAGAAUUGUCUAUUUAUGCUUUCUGCCAUAUGAAUAUUUCACCAUUUUAUUUUUGGAUAUAUAAAGUAGAUUUGUGGAUUUGUUCUGUUGCAGGAUUCUGAGUGUUUUGAAUUGGUGGGACUUUAGGGGAAGUGGAAUUUUAUUUGAUUGUUGGAGAUGGACAGAAUCAGGUUAUCUGGCUUAUAAAUUGCAAGUUAACUUCCCAGAAUGAGCUAUCUUAGAAUGUUCAUGAAAGCAUUCAUAGAUUGCUUGCCAAUGGAAGCUCGACCAGUAUGAGAAAGCUGUUGAAGAUUAUACUAUUACACUUCGCACACAACCAUCUUACAGGAAAGCCAAACUCUCAUUGUAAUGCUAAAAUGGAAAAAUGGGAGGUUUCGAGACACCAGGAAAUGAAGAAGUAGGCUUCGAAACACCAGGAAAUUAAGGCACACUUCAACUCAGAAAGAAACAUAGGGAAGAUAUCAAAGACUUCAAAUUUGGCUCCAAUUUGGUGUUUAUUUCUAACUAUGAGCAUUUUAGGCUUCUUAUUACUUCUCUUCGUAAGUUACAAUAAAAACAAAACUAAAAUACCCAUAUAAAAAGUUUACAUCUUUCUUUGAAGUAGAGGUUUGAAUUGGUAGGGAUGCAUGUGGUUUUGUCCUUGCUGCAUUGACUCAGUGAUCAAUUGUAUUGAUGUUCUUAUUUGCUCAUGCUCUGUGAUUCAAUCCUUGUGUCUCGGCUUCUGGAAGGGUGUGAUGUGCAUAUAAUUAGCCAUCGAUGGGGUGCUCUUGUUCGUAUUUUUCUUCUUUUUUGUGGGGAUUCUUCUGCUAUAAAUAUACUUUAUGUAAGUAUAUAUAGUUAUAAAUUUUAUCUACGUUUUAGAGAUUUUGAUGGGUGUGUUAAUUUGAUGCUUCUUCAUCUGCAUUUUUUAUGUGUUAGGAUGUUCUUUUUACAAAAUUUGUAUGUAAUGUCUUCAAUUAGUAGGUGCUCACUCAGUGGUGGUGAAGUGUUUUAUUUUUCAAUCUUGAUGAGUGGGUUCUUCCUUCAUUUGGAGAUUUACAGGUUAUAUUGCUUGUGUUGAAACCUUUUAGGUCUCAAUGUCAAUUUCACCUCAAGAGAUAAUUUCAUCACCAAAUUCUCUCCAAUUGUUUGGCUCAAUUUGAUUCGUGACCCAACUUUCACUUCAUCCAACUCGAUAAUUCCUUGUCCUUUAUCCAUAAUUUCAAUCCAAUUUGACUCGAAGAUGGAAGCUCAUUUCUAUGAUGACAUAAUUUUGAACACUUGUAAAUUUUGUAUUUUGUGAACUUAUAUAGUUGCAAAUAUAUUUGGUGUACUUUUAUUGUUGGAUAAUUUCAUUAUUUUAUAAUGUAUAAAUGGAUUACAAAUUUUUACUACUAAAG